AGUCUAUCUGACCUGUGCUUAUGCUUCAGGGGUCUGUGUGUGGUGAAUAGGUUGCCUAUGAGAUCAGCUUCUGCUCAAAGCAAGUCUUAUCUAGGAUAAAUGCAGCUGAAGGGCAGGAACCAAGGUCGUUUAAAAGCAUUGGAGAUCAGUGGUGGAAAGACAUUGGGGACAGAAAAGAAGAAAGGAGAAUAGAAGAUUCUUACUGCAGAGUGCUGGUCACCACACCUGGAAAGCUGAAUUAUUUGGCUGAGGCCGUGGAUCCUCAGAUUUCUCCUCUGUGGCUAUACCUUUAUGCCUUUGUAAUGAAGAGUUGACACUGUGGGUGUUAAAGUCCAAGCCCCUCCGGGGAAAACAUCAGCCACCUUUUUAGGGAAAGCCCCUUUCUUCCCUUAUCCCUUCAACACCCCAAUGGAAUGAAAUUGGCAGAGCUUGCCCAGCAUCCAAGGGGCUGCUCCUCCUGGCGUGAAGAUUUGCAAAGGAGUGAGCCCAUUCAGAGCAUUCAUUCAUUCACUCUGUCACCGGUUCAAUCCUGAGCACCUAGGAGGCACUGGGUUAGCUGCAGGGGUCCUGACCUGGGAUGGGUCACUGGUGAAGACACCGGUCCAGGUCCCUUCCCAAACCUCAGCAGGGCUAUGAUGAGUCAAUAUUCGUUGACAAAUUAACUGGCUUGGGAAUCACCUGGGAAACACACCUCUGGGCAUGUCUGUGAGGGUCUGAAGAGGUUUUAAAUGGAAGAGGAGGAAACACCAACCCUGAAGGAACUAACCUCCCAAAGGGAACAAAGCCAGGAUCCUGUAAACAAACAAACGGGCUAAUUACAGGUUAGCUAUAGCUGAGAUCUGAAGUGUUUCCAAAAGGCCUUUGUGUUGCUUGGAACUAGGAGAAGGCAGAUGAACCCAGAGGGCAAAAGCAGUCAUGUUCAGAAACCUCUGGAACGCUCAAGGUCACCAACAUGCUAGUGUGGCCCAGUCCUCUGUGUCCUCUUUUCUGUGAGCCCUGAAGAUAUCCUUCUCACAACUGCACACAGCUGGCCUUCCUGGCCUUUGGCUCUUGGUGUGUGAAAGUCUACAGAACUGAAGAGCUCCAGCCCUCAACAUGACAGAAUGUCUGGAACCCGAGGGCAGGAUUGUUUGUCACUCAGGGGUCUCAGCAAUCUGCCAGUGGAGGCCCCAGCGUGCCAACGAUGAGGCUUCUGUGGGCUCCCUUCUGCUGUUGCCAUGACACAGCCAUUUGGUACAUUGGUGCUCAGUGACACAUUAACAUCCACCAAGACUAACACUAGAGUUGAUGGUCCUUGCCACCAGCUGGUCUGGGCCUGGUGGUGUCCUGUGGGCAUACCUGGAGAAGGCUGCGGUACAAAGGGUGGAGGCCGGAGGCAUCAGAAGACAAAGGCAACUGGAUGGUUUUGAAGCUCAUCAAUUUGAAAAGCACCGGUCCUGGGCACGGUGGUGCACGCCUUUAAUUCCGGCACUUGGAAGGUGGAAGCAGGUGACUGAUAGUUUGAGGCCAGCCUGCGGUUACACCAUGUGUUCCCUAUCUCAGAAUAAAAAUAAAUAAAAUAAAAAUAAAAGCACGGUUUUAAACACUUG
rnacentral:lncRNA from 1 species